rnacentral:misc_RNA from 1 species
GAGAGAGAGAGAGAGAGAGGCGCAUAGUGAAAAGACCCACCAACCAACUGCAAAUCUUAAUACGCCCAAAAUUACUUAACCGUCCUUACAGGUAAAUGUUUCUCAAUACCCACCAUAAAUGUAUCAGUUUUAUGUUUAGGAGUUGAACUAAUAACAUUAACAGUUUCGGUUCAAAAAAAAUAAGUUGACAGUUUCAUGGAUGGCUGGUGGUGGAGCAGGUGAAAUUGUUUGGGACUUUGGGUUCACUGCAGUUCAAUACACACUUAAGUGGGUUUC